rnacentral:sRNA from 1 species
CCCGAAUGAAUACACAGUGUUAGGAUUUCAUCUUGAAAGUCGAGUUCUGGAAUUUACAUUUCUGAUUAUAUAUAUAUAUAUAUAUAUAUAUAUAUAUAUAUAUAUAUGUGUGUGUGUGUGUGUGUGUGUGUGUGUGUGUGUGUGUGUGAAAGAAAGGAGCAGGGAGGGCGCCAUGGUGCCCGA